AGCAGUAGCCGCGGUAAUACGAAGGGGGCUAGCGUUGCUCGGAAUGACUGGGCGUAAAGGGCGCGUAGGCGGAUUGCGCAGUCAGAUGUGAAAUUCCUGGGCUUAACCUGGGGGCUGCAUUUGAGACGCGUAGUCUAGAGUGUGAAAGAGGGUCGUGGAAUUCCCAGUGUAGAGGUGAAAUUCGUAGAUAUUGGGAAGAACACCGGUGGCGAAGGCGGCGACCUGGUUCAUGACUGACGCUGAGGCGCGAAAGCGUGGGGAGCAAACAGGAUUAGAUACCCCAGUAGUCCCUGUCUCUUAUAC
rnacentral:rRNA from 1 species